rnacentral:lncRNA from 10 species
GUACCAACGGCUUAUGACCGAGCCAGGCACAAGGCAGCGUUCAAUGAUGCAAGCAGAGGAAGAAGGGAACAGCUGGGGCUUCCUGCCCGUUUCCUCUGUCCUAACAGCUCCUUUUUGCAGACACUGGGAAUCAAAACCAAAACGCAUGCAACCUUCCACCUUGAAGAACAGCACCACAUCAUCUCUUUGCUAAGCCUGAUUCCCGUUUUCUGGAUAGGAAACUGACACACAAAGUAUCUCCAGAAUCAUAUCAGAGGGUCCCGGUGAACAUCAAAUGAAGAACUAUGUGUAAGCGCCAGGUACAGUGUACCUGGCACGUAUUAGGUUUUAAUAAACGGCAACCAACUCUGACUAACGGUUGUCCCUGGGGAACACCUGCCAGGCACAGAGGGAGGCCCUACGGAGGCGCAGGGCAGAACUGGGCAGCAGCCGUCUAGGGAAGUGGCGGCGGAUUAGAGAAACGGGCGGCCAGGCACAGGCACCCCCUACGAGUGAGAUCUGGCCCCUCGAGCCAGAUCUCCAGCCAGAUGCCUCCAGCAUCUGCUGCCGCGGAGAGCACGCACCAGGUCCCUCCUGCCCGGCAACAGGCGCACUCCGAGCGAGCCCAGCGCCUCUGCUCACCAUGCC